rnacentral:rRNA from 1 species
UACAGAGGGUGCAAGCGUUAUUCGGAAUUAUUGGGCGUAAAGAGCACGUAGGUGGCUACGCAAGUCUAAUGUGAAAUCCCUGGACUCAAUCCAGGAAGUGCAUCGGAUACUGCGUGGCUAGAGGAUAGGAGAGGAGACUGGAAUUUACGGUGUAGCGGUGAAAUGCGUAGAUAUCGUAAGGAAGACCAGUGGCGAAGGCGGGUCUCUGGACAGUUCCUGACGCUGAGGCACGAAGGCCAGGGGAGCAAACGGG